CAGUCGCCGCGGUAAUACGUAGGGUGCGAGCGUUAAUCGGAAUUACUGGGCGUAAAGCGUGCGCAGGCGGUUAUAUAAGUCAGAUGUGAAAUCCCCGGGCUCAACCUGGGAACUGCAUUUGAGACUGUAUGGCUAGAGUGUGUCAGAGGGGGGUAGAAUUCCACGUGUAGCAGUGAAAUGCGUAGAUAUGUGGAGGAAUACCGAUGGCGAAGGCAGCCCCCUGGGAUAACACUGACGCUCAUGCACGAAAGCGUGGGGAGCAAACAGGAUUAGAUACCCCCGUAGUCCCUGUCUCUUAUAC
rnacentral:rRNA from 1 species